UACGUAGGGGGCAAGCGUUAUCCGGAAUCAUUGGGCGUAAAGCGCGUGUAGGCGGCUUUGCAAGUCGGGUGUGAAAGCCCUCAGCUCAACUGAGGAAGUGCGCCCGAAACUGCAGAGCUUGAGUACCGGAGAGGAUGGCGGAAUUCCCCAAGUAGAGGUGAAAUUCGUAGAUAUGGGGAGGAACACCGGUGGCGAAGGCGGCCAUCUGGACGGUCACUGACGCUGAGACGCGAAAGCGUGGGUAGCAAACAGG
rnacentral:rRNA from 1 species